UCACUCCAUAUUGGACCGCGAUUCUUCAGGUUGUCAGUGAUCUUGACUUUCUCUCCUCCCCUGCGGCAGCCCUUUUACACUUCAACUCUCUCCCACAAAUUGCAUAUAAAAAAUCUUUAGCAAUACAUCUUCUCAAUGCUGCUAAAGCGGUAAUUCCUAGAUUCUAGCGCUCUUCCCCAGUUCCUCCUUUACAAAUGUGGCUACAGAGGGUUUCCUUUAUUGAACAUAUGGAGAAUCUGAUAUGGACCUCCAGAGGCAUGGAAUUCCAACAUAAUAGGAGGUGGUUCUGGUGGAAUGCCUUUAUUGCUUCCUCCGAUUUUUCAAGACUUAUUGGUCCAUCUCUUCGUGUCCCCACCGAUUCUCCUUAACUUUUCCCGAGGUCUACUAUUCAACCUGUCACAAUAGAAUUCACGUAUGAUCACUUUGUAAGUUUGUUUAAUGAAAUGACGUGCCAUACACAUCAUUGGUCGCUACCUAACCGUCAUUGGACGUUAAGGGGUCAAGAUCUCCUUUUAGUGAAUGCGCAACUUUCUUUUCAACUGAAUGUUGACAAUUUGAUCCUAGGCCAACUUACAGUCGUCUUACUUGUUGCACAUUUAACAGUAUGCAGGAGACAUCUGUCAAAGAAGAAAACCUCCUGUUUACUAUUAACUGGAUAGCUGGAUUAAAAAAUGUAAAUAAAAUAAAAUCACGAUCCAGUCACUCCUUUUAGACAACAGUCGGUCCAUGGAGCAGGCCACCUCCUACGGUUGCUUGCAACCAUGAUAACUGAUGCCGUUUGAAAAAAAUAAAUAAA